UCCUUCAGGAUUGGUGGCUUUCAUACUGGGCGAAUGGACAGAGUACACUGUAUGCCAUGGUGUAUGGAAAAGGAAACCUAAUUGUGGUGCCUGAUCCUGACUGGUACUUUACAGUUCAUUCAGCAUCACAAGAUCUCUGUUGAUAUUCUGCGUUCUUGUUAAUUCUUCACAAAUUUGGCACAACAAAAUGUUGGAGUCCAUUUUGAGAGCUCUGGUAUUGUUCUUUGAUAGAAAUCCAAUAGGUAAGUCGGACACCAAGUUUCUCAGCAUAUAUGUCUUAUUAAUGCAUUUAGUGCCUGAUUACAUUUGAUAUUUGAAAUUGGAGGAGAUUCUUGGGAGAAAAUCACUGUGCAUGUUGAUCCAUCUUGUACAAAAAGCUUUACUGAUAUUUUUUUCCUACCAGAAAACGUCUGAAUAUAAGAUCAUAUAAGCUUUUAUUCCAAUUUACGUGUGUGUGGAAAGAUAAAUGAACAUUCACUUUGCAGAAUGAUUUAGGAAUCCAUUUUUUGUGUCGCUUAUGAAACACCCUACAUUCGAUACAAAUGUGUUUCAAUGUUGUUGAAGAGUUGCUAAAACGUUGGCUGUGUCACAUAGUGUUAAGCUAGGUUGUCCCCUCGGAAGGAACUUCUUACAAAGACUCUCUACACGAGACAGGCUGUGUGUUUCUUUCUUUCAUUUCCCAUCCAUUUCUGGGGUCACAGUGCUCUGACAUGUGCCUAUACUUUGAAGUUUACCUAAAAUGGUAAUGAGAGUGGUUCAAGAUGGUAGAGUAGAAGGCUGUGUGCUUACUACCUCUUGUGAGAGCACCGUAAUCACAACUAACUGCUGAACAAUCAUCGACAGGAAGACACUGGAAAUCACC